rnacentral:tRNA from 1 species
GGUUAUGUCGUAUAGUGGUUAGUACAACACGUUGUGGUUCUAUUCGCUGCUCCGUGUAAACCCUGGUUCGAUUCCAGGCAUAGCCA